AGUCGAACGAGAAAGUGGAGCAAUCCAUGAGUACAGUGGCGUACGGGUGAGUAACACGUGGGUAAUCUACCUCUUAGUGUGGAAUAACCCUGGGAAACCGGGGCUAAUACCGCAUAAGCUCGAGAGAGGAAAGCAGCAAUGCGCUGAGAGAGGAGCCCGCGGCCGAUUAGCUAGUUGGCAGGGUAAAAGCCUACCAAGGCAAAGAUCGGUAGCCGGCCUGAGAGGGCACACGGCCACACUGGCACUGAAACACGGGCCAGACUCCUACGGGAGGCAGCAGUGGGGAAUCUUGCACAAUGGGGGCAACCCUGAUGCAGCGACGCCGCGUGAGCGAUGAAGCCCUUCGGGGUGUAAAGCUCUUUCGGCAGGGAAGAUUAUGACGGUACCUGCAGAAGCAGCUGCGGCUAACUACGUGCCAGCAGCCGCGGUAAUACGUAGGCAGCAAGCGUUGUUCGGAGUUACUGGGCGUAAAGGGUGUGUAGGCGGUUCUCUAAGUUUGGUGUGAAAUCUCCCGGCUCAACUGGGAGGGUGCGCCGAAUACUGAAGGACUAGAGUACGGGAGAGGAGAGUGGAAUUCCUGGUGUAGCGGUGAAAUGCGUAGAUAUCAGGAGGAACACCGGUGGUGUAGACGGCUCUCUGGACCGUAACUGACGCUGAGACACGAAAGCGUGGGUAGCAAACAGGAUUAGAUACCCUGGUAGUC
rnacentral:rRNA from 1 species